rnacentral:rRNA from 1 species
UGGGGAAUCUUGCGCAAUGCGCGAAAGCGUGACGCAGCAACGCCGCGUGGGGGAAGAAGGCCUUCGGGUUGUAAACCCCUUUCAGUUGGGACGAAGCCUUCUCUGGUUAAGAGCUAGGGGGGUGACGGUACCUUCAGAAGAAGCUCCGGCUAACUACGUGCCAGCAGCCGCGGUAAUACGUAGGGAGCAAGCGUUGUCCGGAAUCAUUGGGCGUAAAGAGCGUGUAGGCGGCUCGGUAAGUCCGCUGUGAAAGUCCAGGGCUCAACCCUGGAAGGCCGGUGGAAACUGCCGGGCUAGAGUCCGGAAGAGGCGAGUGGAAUUCCCGGUGUAGCGGUGAAAUGCGCAGAUAUCGGGAGGAACACCAAUGGCGAAGGCAGCUCGCUGGGACGGUACUGACGCUGAGACGCGAAAGCGUGGGGAGCAAACAG